GUGGUCUCCUACAGCACUCGGACACGGCUGACAGGCGACAACUUUCUUCGAGAUGGCCGUCUACACUAUUACGUUGGUGUUCCUGUUGGUGAGCCUGGCGUACGCCGCAGCCGCAGCCGUUGUCAGCACUGGCGUCUCAAGAGGUGAAUCCCUGGAAGGAGCUGACACUUUCGGCUUCGGCUUCGCCGCCUGGCCGUGGGGUUUAUGGCCUUACGGUUUUCCAGGACCAUUCCCAUACCCUUAUCUAGGUUGAUGAGCUGCCCAGGAGUUUCCUGAAUUGGUGUGGAGCUGUAGAUACUAUUCUGAUUUGUAAUGCUAACUACUAUCUUUAUCAGUUAAAGAAAUGUAAGCACAUUUCAAAUAAACGACCUUUAAGGUACCCGACAACAC